rnacentral:lncRNA from 10 species
GCCUUUGCCUCUUUUGAAAAGUUCUAAGUUGCUAGCCGAUCAGGACAAAUACAGAAUCACUGGGGAAGAAGCAUUUCUAACAGGAGCCUGCAUGCUGAGGAUGGCAGAGGAAAAAGACAGAGCCAUACUGAGCCCUUGGAGAUGCCACUGAGGAGCUACGCUAACCAAUCCUGGAGGCACCAUAACCUAGGACUUCUUCUUAUACAAGGGAUGCUAGAGAGCAGUCUUCAGCCUGAGACCCAUCUCUAGAGUCUUAAUACCUUUAUUUUAUGCUAUUGACAGCUUCUAACAACUCAGUAUACUCCUAUGAACAAAAUUUGGAGCAUAUUUGUUUCUCUCUACCUGAUUUCUUCAGACUGUGGAAACUAUUUGAAUCAAACUUGACUUAUGGAUCCAAUAAAGCCCUUGGAAAAACUGGCCUCAUAUUUUGUGUAAACAGUCCCCGUACAGGGUUUCUGACUUGUGGACAUGAGACUUCACAGCCUGCUAAAAAUAAGCUUUUGGGACCUACCCAUUUAGGAAUAAACAGUCCUAGCCUUGAGAGAUCAGAUGAAAUCUGAGGCCAGAGACUCAUUUUCUUCUAAAAUGCUUUCUCCAAAAGAUUUUUAAAUAGAAAAGAGGGGAAAUGUGAAAGGAAAAUGUCUUCAGCCCCUUCAAGCUGGGAACUCUCAGUACAAAUCUGUCUCUCAUUCUAUUCAAAGUCAUUUCUCUGCUCAGAGAUAGAUGCAUAUUCUGAUUGCCUUCUUUGGAAAGACUUACCAGAAACUCAAAAGAAUGCAACCAUCUGUCUCUCACCUACCUGUGACCUGGAAGCCCAUAGGGUAAAGGGGGCUUGCUUUGAGUUGUCUCUACUUUUCUGAAUGGAAUGAAUGUACUUCUUACAUUUAUUGAUUGAUGUCUCAUGUUUCCCUAAAAUGUAUAAAACCAAUCUGUGCCCCGGCCACCCUGGGCAUGUGUUGUCAGGACUUCCUAAGGCUAUGUCACAGGUGCAUCCUCAACUUUGGCAAAUAAACUUUCUAAAUUAACUGAGACCUCUCUCAGAUUUUCUGGGUUCACUAUUCCUACUUGGAAAAUUGUCGAUAU